ensembl:lncRNA
AUCAUCCCCAGCAUCUGGUAGUUUUACCCAGCAUAUUUUGUGUGUGUGUGUGUGUGUGUGUGUCUGUGUUAGUCAUUCAGUCAUGUCCGACUCUUUGUGACCCCAUGGACGGGAGCCUGCCAGGCUCCUCUGUCCAUGGGAUUCUCCAGCUCUACUGUCGGCGGCUCCGUGAGUAGGCUGUGUCCAGCCAUCGGCGUCUGGAUUGGCCUGCGAGAGCCAUCCACCGUCCUGAAGAAGGCCCCAUGCCACCACCACCAACGAAUCUCAGAAACCUUCCCAGUCCGUGUGCAUCAGGGACCUGAGCUCACAGAGAAGCUAGUGUUUCUCCACCCCUAACACGUAUGACUGGCAGCUCACGUCGGCACCAGUGAGCCGCUCGUGGCAAUCUGGCCAAGCCAUCCCUCCCAGUCUGAGUGGGGCCAACCUGUUUAAUAACACGCGACUUCGGAGGCACCAGGGCUUCCUCUUUGCUCUCCUGGACCACCUGCUGCGGGGCCCCAGCUGACUCCAGAACACUGGAAUUGUCCCAUGGGGUGGAGAGCUCUAUGGUGAGAAGCUGUCUCCUCCAGCCACACCCCUAUUAAACUGGAGAGGCAGCGAGGGCGCCCUGCAGCUCCCCACCAGCCUUGGCCAAUCUUCCCGCAGCUUCAGGAAGGACUGAGCCAGAGUAACUCAGCAAAGAUGCUCCCUCACUCUCAUAAAGUGUGAGAUCAUAAAUGUUUUCUGUUUUUAGCCUCUUCGCCUUGGCAUGAUUUGUUAUGUGGCUCUCAAGAACUGAGAAACCUUGUCAAAAGCAGAUUCUCUAACAAUCCGUUGCGCUGCUGCAGACCUGGGAUUCGGUCCUUUAAUAAGAUGCAGGUGAUGCCAAUGGACCUACACGUGGUCCACGAGGAGCCAGGGCAGUGGCUUCAGCUCCCAUCCCGCCUCCAGCGAGACGCACAAACCAGUUGCACAAACCAGUGCGGCAUGAGCAGCCGCCCCGGCACUCCGGCCUCCGCAGGAGGGUCAGUGCAGCCAGGUGGCGAGGACAGGCCAGGACCCCCGAGGACAGGCCAGGACAGGACAGGACCCCCGAGGACAGGCCAGGACAGCCUCACACAGCGACGGUGACCAGCCAGAUGGCCAAGCCUGCCGGGGAAGGUUGCACGGUGGUUCUGCAAGCCCCAUGUCUCCCGUUGCCAAGUCAUGUCUGACCUCUUCAUGAUCCCAUGGACUGCAGCACACCAGGCUUCCCUGUCUUUCACCAUCUCCUGGAAUUUGCCCAAGUUCACAUCCAUUGCAUCAGUGGUACCAUCCAACCAUGUCAACACUUGUUCAGUAUUGAAAGUUCUAGUGUUGCAUGUAUACAGAAUAUGAUGUUCUUGAACUUGGACACUGAUGCAAAUAGAGACAUGUGUGUUCAGUUCAGUUCAGUUCAGUUCAGUCGCUCAGUCGGGUCCGACUCUUUGCGACCCCAUGAAUCGCAGAACGCCAGGCCUCCCUGUCCAUCACCAACUCCCGGAGUUCACUCAGACUCACGUCCAUUGAGUCAGUGAUGCCAUCCAGCCAUCUCAUCCUCCGUUGUCCCCUUCUCCUCCUGCCUCCAAUCCCUCCCAGCAUCAGUGU